GUACCCCUACGGGAGGCAGCAGUAGGGAAUUUUCGUCAAUGGGCGCAAGCCUGAACGAACAAUGCCGCGUGAACGAGGAAGGUCUUCGGAUCGUAAAGUUCUGUUGAAGGGGAAAAAGAGCGGAGAGAGGAAAUGAACUCCGAUUGAUAUUACCCUUCGAGGAAGUCACGGCUAACUACGUGCCAGCAGCCGCGGUACUACGUAGGUGGCGAGCGUUAUCCGGAAUGAUUGGGCGUAAAGGGUGCGUAGGCGGCCUGCUAAGUCUGGAGUGAAAGGUACCGGCUCAACCGGUACAGGCUCUGGAA
rnacentral:rRNA from 1 species